rnacentral:lncRNA from 1 species
GGGGAAGGAUGAGUGGUUGGGGAUUCUGUUCUUGUGGAGUUUUCUUUCUGAGCCUAGAAUUCUGGAUAUGGGGACCCAUCAGCACUUGUGUUGCUAUCAUCCGGAUAAUUUAACAUGCUAAAGCAAGGCUAAUGCUGCAAAUCAGGUGUGAGGCAUUUUGUUAGGCUGUGUCCUUGCCCAGGGAAAUUCAGCUGGAGGUUUUGCUGCAGACUGGGACUUCACCUGUAGGAUGCAUGAAGAUAGGGCACUGAGAUGCCCGAUUGCACCGACUGCCUUCAGAUACAACAGGACUCCAAGUCACCUCAUUGCAUUCCUUUUCAUGGUUUCAUUGCUGCUUUCGUAUUGUCAGAUGGGAAAGUAAUAUGAAUGAAGUGUAAAUUCAAGUCUUUAAUUGACUCUUGAAGAAGCCUAUAGAACAGUUGUGCCCCAGUUGUUUUUUCUCAGGCUAGCACCGAUAGUAUGGGGGCAAUGCAGGACUGGCCAACUCAAUCUGGCUGCUGAGUCAUUCAGCCACUUCUAACAGUUCAUAAUAAUGGUUGUUGCCUGGAGGGAAUUUUAAAAUGAGAAGCCUGAAUUGUGCCGAUGCUAACAGGUAAUAAAUGUUGUGAAUAAGGUCAUUAAGAGAGUAUUUACCUUACUAAAUGAUUUGUAGGUUUUUGUGUACUCUGGAUGAUGUCGAUUUCCUGCAUAAAAUCUAAAGCAUUGUAUCUAUGGAACCACAACGUGACAGUUUUACAGUCAUUCUGAGGAGCGGAACGCUUUCUGCCAAUGUUCACUGUUUCCCAGUCCCGUGACAACACAAUCCCGGCAGUCGUGAGAGCACACUCGGUGCUUCUCUCUCGAAGUGGCGAUCUGUCUUCUCCAGAGGGGCUGCAAAAAGCCCACGGCUCGUCGGGACCCUGGGCCGGACGCACCAGCUGCACUUGCGGCGGCGGCUCGGCAGAGGGAGACGUCUGUGUGCCUGGGCCCGCCAGAGCGGGAGCGCCGCUGUGGCUGCGGGUUCCCGCGCGGGCAGCUCUGCUCAGCUGCUCCCGGAGCCUCCCGCCCCGCCGCCUCCCUCACGGCAGGGCCGGGUCCGCGGCUCUCCGGGCGCCUUCCUGCGAGGUGGGGGGAUACGGCCAGACCCGUGAC